rnacentral:tRNA from 1 species
CGGAGCGUGGCGCAGCCAGGUAGCGCGUCUGACUGGGGGUCAGAAGGUCGUGGGUUCGAGUCCCGCCGCUCCGACCA